ACAGUGGGCCGGGUGGUCGCCUUCUGCCUAUGAGCAGGGGGAGGAAGGUCCGGGCUCCUCCGGGCAGCGUGCUGGGUAACGCCCAGGCGGGGCGACCCGCGGAAAGUGGCACAGAAACCAUACCGUCGCUAGCUUCAAAAGCUAGCGGUAAGGGUGAAAAGGUGGGGUAAGAGCCCACCGGCGGCAGGGUGACCUGCCGGCCGGCCAAACCCCACGUGGAGCAAGGCCAAAUAGGAGGGCCAGCCCUUUAAAAAGGGGCUAGGGGAUGCCCGGCCCCAUGCCCUCGGGUAGGCCGCUUGAGCCUCUCCGAAAGGGGAGGCCCAGACUGAUGACCACCGGCCGCCAUACGGGGCGGUUACAGAACCCGGCCUAUAGGCCCACUGUCCCU
rnacentral:RNase_P_RNA from 1 species